GAAGGAAGAGCACCCAAGGACAUGACCCCAGGGACCUCCUCCCAGCUAGGCCUUGCCUCUCCAAGUCUACAUACAUCCAUCAAAUUACGUCUCACUCAGCGGACACAACCACUGUAAGGCAGAGCCCUCGUAAUCGCCUCUUGGUAACUGGAUACACCAAUCAGGGAUCAGAACGAGGCUUUUGGGAAGACUUUAUGUCUAAAUGGGGUUACUUAGAGGUGAAUGGGUGACUCAAGGGCCCACGCCAGCAUGGGUGAAGGCUCCUGAAGGCUUCACCCCAGCUGUGCUUCACACAGCUUCACAGAUGAGCCUCCUCCUAGCAAACUACAACAUUCUAAUCUUCCCAGCCUUGAAAACUUCCUUCGCCUCCUCAGAGUCCCUCUCAGCCCCCUGGGAGGGGAUGUCUCCAUUUGGAGGUGCUACAUAAAGCUAUUCGAGAAGACGAGAUUAAACAUGAGGUUGGAACAGUUAUUGCCAACUGGUAGCUUGGUUAGGCUUUUGAUUUUGCAUUUCUAAUAACAACCCCACCACCACCAAGAGGCCGUGUCCGCUUGAUUCACGUUUACAUGGUCACAUUAGAUAGUGUAAUUCCCAUAGGAAGACCAAUGUGAUAUUUACAACCCAAAGC
ensembl:lncRNA